rnacentral:rRNA from 1 species
GAUGAACGCUGGCGGCGUGCCUAAUACAUGCAAGUCGAGCGGAGCGGGGACGGGUGAGUCCCACGUAGCUACCCUCCUAUAAGACUGGGAUAACUUCGGGAACCCUGAGCUAAACCGGUUACUUAUAGGUGGAUCCGCGCUGCAUUAGCUAGUUGGUAAGGUAACGGCUUACCAAGGCAACGAUGCAUAGCCGACCUGAGAGGGUGAUCGGCCACACUGGAACUGAGACACGGGCCAGACUCCUACGGGAGGCAGCAGUAGGGAAUAUUGCGCAAUGGGCGAAAGCCUGAUGGAGCCACGCCGCGUGAGUGAUGAAGGUCUUCGGAUCGUAAAGCUCUGUAAGUAGGGAAGCGGUACCAAAAGAGUAAGCAACGGCUAACUACGUGCCAGCAGCCGCGGUAAUUC